rnacentral:rRNA from 1 species
AUUGAACGCUGGCGGCGUGCUUAACACAUGCAAGUCGAACGGUAAGGCCUUCGGGUACACGAGUGGCGAACGGGUGAGUAACACGUGGGUGAUCUGCCCCCUACUCUGGGAUAAGCCUGGGAAACUGGGUCUAAUACCGGAUAUGACCUCCUUCUGCAUGGUUGGUGGUGGAAAGUUUUUUCGGUAGGGGAUGAGCCCGCGGCCUAUCAGCUUGUUGGUGGGGUAAUGGCCUACCAAGGCGACGACGGGUAGCCGGCCUGAGAGGGCGACCGGCCACACUGGGACUGAGACACGGCCCAGACUCCUACGGGAGGCAGCAGUGGGGAAUAUUGCACAAUGGGCGAAAGCCUGAUGCAGCGACGCCGCGUGGGGGAUGACGGCCUUCGGGUUGUAAACCCCUUUCAGUCGGGACGAAGCGAGAGUGACGGUACCGAUAGAAGAAGCACCGGCCAACUACGUGCCAGCAGCCGCAGUAACAC